rnacentral:rRNA from 1 species
CGAAAGCCUGAUGGUGCGACGCCGCGUGAGGGACGAAGGCCUUCGGGUCGUAAACCUCUGUCACCGGGGAAGAAACGCUGCAUAUUAAUCGUAUGCAGCCUGACUUAACCCGGAGAGGAAGCAGUGGCUAACUCUGUGCCAGCAGCCGCGGUAAUACAGAGACUGCAAGCGUUAUUCGGAUUCACUGGGCGUAAAGGGUGCGCAGGUGGUCGUGUGUGUCAGAUGUGAAAUCCCGGAGCUUAACUCCGGAACUGCGUCUGAAACUGCACGACUAGAGCAUUGGAGAGGGUAGUGGAAUUCACGGUGUAGCAGUGAAAUGCGUAGAUAU